rnacentral:rRNA from 1 species
GAUGAACGCUGGCGGCGUGCCUAAUACAUGCAAGUCGAGCGAACAGACGAGGAGCUUGCUCCUCUGACGUUAGCGGCGGACGGGUGAGUAACACGUGGAUAACCUACCUAUAAGACUGGGAUAACUUCGGGAAACCGGAGCUAAUACCGGAUAAUAUAUUGAACCGCAUGGUCCAAUAGUGAAAGACGGUUUUGCUGUCACUUAUAGAUGGAUCCGCGCCGCAUUAGCUAGUUGGUAAGGUAACGGCUUACCAAGGCGACGAUGCGUAGCCGACCUGAGAGGGUGAUCGGCCACACUGGAACUGAGACACGGUCCAGACUCCUACGGGAGGCAGCAGUAGGGAAUCUUCCGCAAUGGGCGAAAGCCUGACGGAGCAACGCCGCGUGAGUGAUGAAGGUCUUCGGAUCGUAAAACUCUGUUAUUAGGGAAGAACAAAUGUGUAAGUAACUAUGCACGUCUUGACGGUACCUAAUCAGAAAGCCACGGCUAACUACGUG